AGAGUUUGAUCCUGGCUCAGGAUGAACGCUAGCGGCAGGCCUAACACAUGCAAGUCGAGGGGCAGCAUAAUUAUUCGCAAGAAUAAUGGUGGCGACCGGCGCACGGGUGCGUAACGCGUAUGCAACCUACCUUUUACUGGGGUAUAGCCCGGAGAAAUCCGGAUUAAUCCCCCAUAGUACUGACAAUUCGCAUGAUGAGUCAGUUAAAGUUUCGGCGGUAAAAGAUGGGCAUGCGUCCUAUUAGCUAGAUGGUAAGGUAACGGCUUACCAUGGCUACGAUAGGUAGGGGGCCUGAGAGGGUGGUCCCCCACACUGGUACUGAGACACGGACCAGACUCCUACGGGAGGCAGCAGUGAGGAAUAUUGGUCAAUGGGCGCAAGCCUGAACCAGCCAUGCCGCGUGCAGGAAGAAUGUCCUAUGGAUUGUAAACUGCUUUUAUUUGGGAAUAAACCCCCCGACGUGUCGGGGUCUGAAGGUACCAAAUGAAUAAGCACCGGCUAACUCCGUGCCAGCAGCCGCGGUAAUACGGAGGGUGCAAGCGUUAUCCGGAAUCAUUGGGUUUAAAGGGUCCGCAGGCGGGCAUAUAAGUCAGUGGUGAAAGCCUACAGCUCAACUGUAGAACUGCCAUUGAUACUGUAAGUCUUGAAUUCGGUCGAAGUGGGCGGAAUGUGUAGUGUAGCGGUGAAAUGCAUAGAUAUUACACAGAACACCGAUAGCGAA
rnacentral:rRNA from 1 species